CACAUGCGCACUUAGUGUCACUUCUGGUGAUCACACCGCAGGUCAUACCUCGCAGGUCAGACGCUGCUUCUCUUUGCUGUCAGAAGAACACCUAAAUUAUCCUUAAACAUGAGCACCUUGGUAAGACAAUUCUUACAGAAGAACCACACGUUAAAGGUCUUCACAGGAGACAAAUAUCGGGAGCUGGCCAAUAACUGGAAAGGCACAGCGGCAGUGUGGGGAGGACUGGGAGCCAUAGCAGUGGUGUGGGCCACAGACUGGAAGGCUGUGUUGAAGUUUGUGCCGUACAUCAGGGGGAAAUUCAUCCAGAAGGACGAAUAACAUCAUGUACACUUUGUACAGUCUUCAUUAGUACUGAGAUGGAUGAGGAAGAUUACAAGUUUCCAGAGCUUCUGCUGAGAUGAUACCAUUGUUGCUGAUUUUAUAACCAUGAGCACAUCUACAGUCAUUUGGACACAUGUUACAAUGAUUCCGAUGUUAGUGCUUCUUGGAAAGUUUAGAUGUGGGUAUGAGAUGAUGGGCACCAGCUGAAUUCAUUCGACUUCUUCAACGUAAUAAACCAAUUCUAUUGGUCCAAAA